rnacentral:rRNA from 1 species
UACGUAGGGGCCUAGCGUUGUCCGGAAUUAUUGGGCGUAAAGAGCUCGUAGGCGGUUCGGCAAGUCGGAUGUGAAAUCUCCACGCUUAACGUGGAGGGGCCAUUCGAAACUGCUGUGACUCGAGUCCGGUAGGGGAGUGUGGAGUUCCCGGUGUAGCGGUGAAAUGCGCAGAUAUCAGGAGGAACACCGAUUGCGAAGGCAGCUCGCUGGGACGUAACUGACGCUGAGACGCGAAAGCGUGGGGAGCAAACAGG